rnacentral:rRNA from 1 species
AGAGUUUGAUCAUGGCUCAGAACGAACGCUGGCGGCAUGCCUAACACAUGCAAGUCGAACGAGACCUUCGGGUCUAGUGGCGCACGGGUGCGUAACGCGUGGGAAUCUGCCCUUGGGUUCGGAAUAACAGUUAGAAAUGACUGCUAAUACCGGAUAAUGUCUUCGGACCAAAGAUUUAUCGCCCAGGGAUGAGCCCGCGUAGGAUUAGCUAGUUGGUGAGGUAAAGGCUCACCAAGGCGACGAUCCUUAGCUGGUCUGAGAGGAUGAUCGGCCACACUGGGACUGAGACACGGCCCAGACUCCUACGGGAGGCAGCAGUGGGGAAUAUUGGACAAUGGGCGAAAGCCUGAUCCAGCAAUGCCGCGUGAGUGAUGAAGGCCUUAGGGUUGUAAAGCUCUUUUACCCGGGAUGAUAAUGACAGUACCGGGAGAAUAAGCCCCGGCUAACUCCGUG